GAUGAACGCUGGCGGCAGGCCUAACACAUGCAAGUCGAGCGCCCUUUCGGGGGAGCGGCGGACGGGUGAGUAACGCGUGGGAAUAUGCCCUUCUCUACGGAAUAGCCUCGGGAAACUGAGAGUAAUACCGUAUACGCCCUGUGGGGGAAAGAUUUAUCGGGGAAGGAUUAGCCCGCGUUGGAUUAGGUAGUUGGUGGGGUAAUGGCCUACCAAGCCGACGAUCCAUAGCUGGUUUGAGAGGAUGAUCAGCCACACUGGGACUGAGACACGGCCCAGACUCCUACGGGAGGCAGCAGUGGGGAAUCUUAGACAAUGGGGGCAACCCUGAUCUAGCCAUGCCGCGUGAGUGAUGAAGGCCUUAGGGUUGUAAAGCUCUUUCAGCUGGGAAGAUAAUGACGGUACCAGCAGAAGAAGCCCCGGCUAACUCCGUG
rnacentral:rRNA from 1 species